rnacentral:lncRNA from 1 species
GAGUCUGAUCCUCAGUGAUUUAUGAAAAGCUGAACCUCGUAGCCCCAGGGCUAAAUGUGCAAAAUAAGGAAUAGCAGCAGCAUUGACUGAUAACAUGCUAUCUUUCUAAGUUGAGCACAAUUAAUUGUGUGUUUUUAUUAUUUUACUCAACUUUUCAAUAUUGUAGUCUAUGGGAGAGGGUAACAGUACCUUUACCUAGUAGUAAGCAGCUAGUCUUGUACCAUUCUUCUCAGUGUGUGGUUCCUAAUGAGGAAGGUUCAAAUUUGCACCGUACAACAGUUAAUUUGCAUCGAGAAUGAAAGCACAAAGCUUGAUCAGAUAUGCACUCUGACAAUCAUCAGCUCUUCUUCAUGUGAUGUUGAAAAUACGUUUAUGUUAAUGUCUGCUUCUGUGUUUCCACAGGUUCUGCCUGGCAUACUGCAGAAGCAUUGCUGUAUUUUGCCUGACAGGAACACAGCUUGGAACUACUUCGCGGUGGGGGAUUUACAUUGCUGGGACGCUGAGUUUGGUUGAUGGAGUCAAUCAGAGAUAGGUGAGCCAUUUUCCUGUUUGAUUGUGUCAGAAUCCAUGAGUCCACACUAAGAAGAAGGCAUUCAUUAAGUUUCUGUAAACUUGGAAAGUGCUAUUUGAAUUCAGACAUGUACAUUGUAUAUAAUCUUGGCCAGCUCUGUUCUCAUUGAGUCUGGAGAAACAGCCGGAUUACAAGCUUCAGAUCUUUGUGUUCAGUUGCUGGUGUUUGGAGGAAUUUAGGAAUGUGCAGAGCAGGGUGUUGUUCCUAAUGAAAAGGAGAAAGGGAGAAAGAGAUGGACGGGGGGAUGGGAGAAGAAAGAGAGGAAGAAGCAUAAAACAAGACCUCCAAAACCACUAGAGAAGAACACAGAUGUUGUGGGGAGGAGGAUGGGUGAAAGGCAGAAGCAGUAGCAGUUUCCUCACUUGUUUAUAUCUAUUCAGCAGCUCAGGAGUUUAGGAGUCUUCAGCUACAGGUUGAAGACUGCCACUCUGACCAACCUCUUUCACAGUUUUAGCGCAGGAGCUUCUGGGGAUCUGCACCCCCAAGAAGGAAAUGAGCCCUGGGGAAUGGUGGAGUCAGUGCUGCCAGGCCAUCCCCUCACCUGGCUGCCCUUCAAGCCUUGUCUGUCCUGGAGCCUCAGGGAAUACGUGUAACAAGUCUUUGAAUUAGUAUGGCCCUAUCUUGCCCAUGCCCUGGAAAACUGCACAUCCCACUGACUCUUCCUUCACUGUGGAAAAAGUUGAAGUGCCACCACGUACUCUUUUGGUGUCAAUAUUCUGCAUUUGUAAACCAGAGGACAGAGCUAUGCACGGGAAGAAACGACACAGGGGCACGGAUCACCUUCCCCAUCUACUGCAAACUUUUAUUUUCAGUGCUUUUAACUUGGCUAUGAAAACAUUUAAUGCAGAGCCUUUCAAAAAGCAGGAUAGAAGGUAAUUCAGCUGCUAUCUAGCAAUGCAGUUUUGGAGGAAGACACGUAUUUAACAAGAUUAGGUGUUUCAA